rnacentral:rRNA from 1 species
UACGGGGGGAGCAAGCGUUGUUCGGAUUUACUGGGCGUAAAGGGCGCGUAGGCGGCCACCGCAAGUCAAUUGUGAAAUCUCCGGGCUUAACUCGGAAAGGUCAACUGAUACUGUGCGGCUAGAGUGCGGAAGGGGCAACUGGAAUUCUUGGUGUAGCGGUGAAAUGCGUAGAUAUCAAGAGGAACACCUGCGGCGAAGGCGGGUUGCUGGGCCGACACUGACGCUGAGGCGCGAAAGCCAGGGGAGCGAACGGG